rnacentral:rRNA from 1 species
UACGGAGGGAGCUAGCGUUGUUCGGAAUUACUGGGCGUAAAGCGCACGUAGGCGGCUUUGUAAGUUAGAGGUGAAAGCCCGGGGCUCAACUCCGGAACUGCCUUUAAGACUGCAUCGCUUGAAUCCAGGAGAGGUGAGUGGAAUUCCGAGUGUAGAGGUGAAAUUCGUAGAUAUUCGGAAGAACACCAGUGGCGAAGGCGGCUCACUGGACUGGUAUUGACUCUCAUGCACGAAAGCGUGGGGAGCAAACAGG